rnacentral:rRNA from 1 species
GUCUCCGGCCAUACUACCCUGAACACGCCCGAUCUCGUCUGAUCUCUGAAGCUAAGUAGGGUCGGGCCUGGUUAGUACUUGGAUGGGAAAGUACGUAUAACUAAUUGAUAUGGAGAUA